ACCAUCCUUUUUUGGGGGUUUGUGCUACGGUCCGAUGAGCGCAUAGUGAGGGCAGUACUGUUAACACCUACACGACACGCUCACAUCAACUAGAGCUUCGCUUUUAUUGGUGCAGUUUUUGGAAAA
ensembl:snRNA